GAGGGGAGCAAGCGUUAUUCGGAAUCACUGGGGCGUAAAGGGGCGUGUAGGCGGCCCCAUAAGUCAGUUGUCAAAGCCCCCGGCCUAACCGGGGGAUAGGGCGAUUGAUACUGUAGGGCUAGAGUACAGAAGAGAGAGGUGGAAUUAUCGGAGUAGCGGUAAAAUGCGUAGAUCUCGAUAGGAACACCGAUGGCGAAGGCAGCCUCUUGGGCUGUGUCUGACGCUAAAGCGCGAAAGCGUGGGGAGCAAACAGGAUUAGAUACCCUGGUAGUCCACGCUGUAAACGAUGAUCACUAGAUGUGGGUUGAGCUUGCUCGAUCCGUGUCGUAGCUAACGCGAUAAGUGAUCCGCCUGGGAACUACGAUCGCAAGAUUA
rnacentral:rRNA from 1 species